rnacentral:rRNA from 1 species
UACGAAGGGUGCUAGCGUUGUUCGGAAUCACUGGGCGUAAAUCGCGCGUAGGCGGCGUCGCAAGUCAGAGGUGAAAGCCUGGAGCUCAACUCCAGAAUUGCCUUUGAAACUGCGGUGCUAGAGUGUCGGAGGGGAUAGCGGAAUUGCUAAUGUAGAGGUGAAAUUCGUAGAUAUUAGCAGGAACACCGGUGGCGAAGGCGGCUAUCUGGACGACAACUGACGCUGAGGCGCGAAAGCGUGGGGAUCAAACAGG